rnacentral:ncRNA from 1 species
CGGGGGCAACGCAGACUCCCCGCGAGACGACACAUCGUCCAAGCUCUGC